UCCGACUUCCGAGUCAAUUUAGAAGCCACCCGAUCCCUAUAUAAAUGAAGCGUGGGGGCAGCUUUCCAUUUCUGUAACUGGUGAAACGAAAAAAGGAAAUGGUUAACGAAUCUUCUUCUUCCUAAGAAUAUCGUCCACUUCAGGAUUUUUGGUGCGCAUUGAGAUGCGUAAUUUUUGAACCAGUGGCCUCUCCGUUGCGUUUCUCACCCUUUAGGGUUCUAUGGUCGGUCCGCGACCCCUGGAUACCGAAGGCGUCCUUGGAGUGAUCUCAUAGUUCCUACGGAGUGGAGACGAUGGAGUUAUAUAAUAAAGUUUUUCGAUGGCUAAAUUACCGUUUCAAACCCUGAAAAGAAACAUGCAUUUAUGAGGUUUAAAAGUGCUUUUGCUUUGUCGAAUAUCAGGUUGCUGACCCAGAAUAUUUUUCAGGGGCCUAACAACUUUUUGCAAGAUUGGGUCCACAAACCACAAUCAUAUUCAUAGCCUGUGAGAAGUCCAUUUCCAUGCCAUUUCUUUCUCAAUCGAGAUCUUAGCUGCCCGAUCACCCCAUCGAUCAUUGGGGUGGCUUCUAUGAAAGUUGUUUAUAUACUUUAACUUGCAUUGACAACGUCAAGCUAUGACAUGAAGGAAGGUGAGAAAAGUCCAUUCGAUUUUUGUUUCACCUUCAUCCUCUCGAGGUCAAACUCAAGUCUAGUCUAGCUCGAUGAAGCUUCCACAUGCACAUAUUAAAUGUAACUAUUCAUCCCAAUUGAAUUCCAUAUGAUUUGAAUUCUUAAGAUUAUUGUUACUUAGUUGUUUAUUUGUCCAUGAUUGGUGUGAUCUG